AUUGAACGCUGGCGGCAUGCUUUACACAUGCAAGUCGAACGGAGGUAGGGGCAACUCUACUUCAGUGGCGGACGGGUGAGGAAUGCGUCGGAAUCUACCCUAUGGUGGGGGAUAACACAGGGAAACUUGUGCUAAUACCGCAUAAUGUCGAGAGACCAAAGCAGGGGACCGCAAGGCCUUGCGCGAUAGGAUGAGCCGACGCCCGAUUAGCUAGUUGGUAGGGUAAAGCCUACCAAGGCGACGAUCGGUAGCUGGUCUGAGAGGAUGAUCAGCCACACUGGGGACUGAGACACGGCCCAGACUCCUACGGGAGGCAGCAGU
rnacentral:rRNA from 1 species